GUCCUGGCUGUAAACGAUGGAUACUAGGCGUUGCGGGUAUCGACCCCCGCAGUGCCGUAGCUAACGCGAUAAGUAUCCCGCCUGAGUAGUACGGCCGCAAGGUUAAAAACUCAAAAGGAAUUGACGGGGGCCCGCACAAGCGGUGGAACAUGUGGUUUUAAAUUCGAAGCAACGCGAAGAACCUUACCAAGGCUUGACAUCUGGAGAAAUCUUCCGGAAAACGGGAGAGUGCCCGCAAAGGGAACUCCAAAGACAGGUGGUGCAUGGCUGUCGU
rnacentral:rRNA from 1 species